GAGGUCUCUGUAACCGUUCUUCCC
rnacentral:piRNA from 1 species